CCCCGAGAUUCUGUGUCCCCCAGCCCUGCUCAGUAGUAGCCUGAACAUGCUGCUAAAGUCCAAUCUUGUCCAUGCUGGACUAAAAUGAGGGGCUGGAAUCUCCAUGGACCGCCCCAAGAAUUCAAUUCAGUGUAAAUCCCAAAGGAAACUCCUAAGAAAAUGUCUUAUUAGACUGUUUUUAUUUUUAAAACUUGAUUUAUUUAAAAGGCGACUUACAGCUACAGGGAGACAAAACACACACACAGAGAGAGAGAGAGAGAGAGAGAGAGAACUUUCAUUCACUGGUUCACCUGCCCACCUCCCCAAAUGGCUACCAGGGCUUAGACUAGGCCAGUCUGUAGUCAGGCACCCAAACUCCAACCAGGUUUCCCCUCAGUUGGCAAUGCCCCAGGUUUUUGGUCAUCUUCCUCUGACUUCCCAGGCACGUUAGCAGGGAGCUGGAUCAGAAGCAGAGCAGCCAGACACAAACCAGCCUCCCAAUAUGGGAUGCCAGUGUCACAGGCGGCAGCUUGACUGCUAUGCCCUAGCGCUGGUGCCCAGGCUUCUUUAAGAUUUAUUUAUUUGAAAGGUCAAGUGAUCUUCUAUCCUCUGCUUACUCCCCACUUGGCCACAAUGACCAGGUGAGCUGGUUUGAGCCAGGAGCCUGUGAGGCUGGCACUGUGUGUAAGGGGUUAGGCCCGCGGUGCAGUGCUGCCAUCCCAUAUGGGUGCUGGCUUGAGCCUCAGCUGCUCCACUUCCAGCCCAGCUCCCUGCUAAUGUGCCUGGGAAAGCUGCGAAAGAUGACCCAAAUGCUUCGGCUGCUUCCCUCACAUAGUAGACCCAGAAAGCUCCUGGUUCCUGGCUUCCACCCGGCACUUCCCUUGCCAUUGUGGCUAUUUAAGAAGUGAACCAGCAGAUGUAAGACCUCUCUCUCUUUGUCUGUCUCUCUCUCUCUCCCUCUCUAUCCCCUUCUACUCUGUGUUUGUGUGUGCAUGUGUGUGUCUGUUUGUAUUCCUCCCUCUCUCUAAUUCUGCCUUUCAAAAAAAUAAAAUAAAUCUUUUUAAAAAGCCUAGGAAGGGCCGGCGCCGCGGCUCACUAGGCUAAUCCUCCGCCUAGCGGCGCCGGCACACCGGGUUCUAGUCCCGGUCGGGGCGCCGGAUUCUGUCCCGGUUGCCCCUCUUCCAGGCCAGCCCUCUGCUGUGGCCCGGGAGUGCAGUGGAGGAUGGCCCAGGUGCUUGGGCCCUGCACCCCAUGGGAGACCAGGAAAAGCACCUGGCUCCUGGCUCCUGCCAUCGGAUCAGCGCGGUGCGCCGGCCGCAGCGCGCCGGCCGCGGCGGCCAUUGGAGGGUGAACCAACGGCAAAGGAAGACCUUUCUCUCUGUCUCUCUCUCUCACUGUCCACUCUGCCUGUCAAAAAAAAAAAAAAAAAAAAAAAAAAGCCUAGGAUGCCACCCAGGUCUACCACGUGGGCGGCAGGUGCCCAGGUACUUGGACCAUAUGCCGCUGGUUUCUCAGGUGCGUUAGUAGGGAGCUGACUUGGAGCCAGGACUUGAACAGGCACUUCAACUAUGGGAUGCUGGCAUCAUAAGCAGUGUCUUAGCCUGCUGUGCCAUACACCACCCCCCAAGAACCAAGGUUUCUUUCUCGCUCCAAAUCUGAUAUCAGCCAAGUAAAGGCCUUUUGCUCAUCCUCAGAGAGGUGUCACAGCCUUUUGUCACACUUGGUUCACGGGGUGUGGUGAUAGAUAGUCUGCUCGUGUGUUGCACGUGUUUUAUGAACUGUUGGAAGCCCUCAUACCCUGCUAAAGUCUGCUGGGGGCCAUGUGCUAACGGGGCAGACCUGCAGAACCAGUGACAGCCAGGUUACUCAUCACCAGAGAGAGUCUACACAAUGUCGCUUUAGCCGGGCAACCAGACACGAAACACCACCCUUCCCCCUGCCCUUCAGGGGACACAGGCACAGCCCCCUGGGUGGCCACCCCUGGUCACAGUGCCUGAGCUGGAUGAGCUCAUAAUGCAGGUAGCGUCCAUGCCAGGGCUCUGCCGGGCAGGAGACACAGCUACCAGGAAGAGCUCGCUCCCCUGGAGGCUUCCACUGGGGGCUGUGAAUGCCAGGAUGGUGCAAGCCCUCUCUCCUGGGAAGAGAGCCUGUGUCCAAGAUGGAGUCCAAGGGACAGAGAGCACCCUCAGAUCCCAUGAGAUCCCUCAGUGUCUGCGGAUCUUUUCCAGCCCACAAACACAGACGUCCCAGUUUUCCAUUCCUGAAACAUCGAUAUGGUCUGAUAGAUUUAGAGGCACCGGUGCUUGGCGGGUAGUGAGGAAGACUUUGGUGAAGUAAGCAGCACGUGGUCCACGCUUGCGUCUCCGAGGGGAAAGGCAGGCGCAGCAUCAGACACGGUGGCAGUGAGUCCCAGCGGGACAGACAGUCUUGGGUGGAAAUAAACAGUUACUAGAGACUGUAACACGCUGUGUUGAACUUUCCUCUCCUGGCAGUCUACCAUCUCUGUACCUAGGCGUUGGACUUGAUACUUUUUUCUUAACAACGCAGCCAGCUCUAGCUGAGAGCCGUGUCCCUGUGUCUGUGCCCCAGUUUGCCAGUCAGCACCACCGCAACACCCAUGACUCAGGCAUACAAACUGUGUCCGUGGACUUGAUUAUUAAGAAACAACUCUUAAGCAGACAACAGUGUCCAGCUAAUACAGGUGUGAAGGACAGUCCGCUGCCUUAGGCUCCCUUACGCACGGCUGUGUUCACAACAGCAUCAGCGUUGAACAGAAGGCAAUGGCCGUGGCCUCCGCCAAGGUGUGGAGUGGAGACUUGAUUACCGGGGACACAGGCUCUCCCCGACUCACUUCCUGUCUCUCCUGGGAGCUCCUGUCUCACUGGAAGCUCUGUGCUUUGCUUCUCCCGUUCCCUAAAUGCACGAGGAUCAUUUCUACCUCUCAGAAGUUAAACAUGGCACUUCCUUUCCUUUUCUGGGUCAUUCUAGGUAGCCUGCAAAGCUCAGCCAGCACUCACAUGUGUGGGAGGCCUCCCAUGAGCCAGCCUUUUCCCUCCACUGCAAGGUCACACAGUGCUGCCCAGGUCACACACAGUGCUGCUCCGGUCACACAGUGCUACCCAGGAAACAGUGUUGCUUCAGAUCACACACAGUACUGCCCGGGUCACGCACAGUGCUGCUCGGGUCACACAGAGUGCUGCCCAGGUCACACACAGUGCUGUGCAGGUCACACACAGUGCUGCCCAGGUCAUGCACAGUACUGCACAAGUCACACACAGUGCUGCCCAAGUCACUCACAAUGCUGUGCAGGUCACUGAAUGCUGCCCGGGUCACAAACAGUGCUGCCCGGGUCACACAGAGUGCUGCCCAGGUUACACACAGUGCUGUGCAGGUCACAGAAUGCUGCCAGGUCACAAACAGUGCUGCCCAGGUUAUGCACAGUGCUGCUCGGGUCACACACAGUGCUGCCGAGGUCAUACACAGUGCUGGCCAUGUCACACAAAGUGCUGCUCGGGUCACACACAGUACUACAAGGUCACACACAGAGUGCUGCCCAGGUCACACACAGUGCUGCCCAGGUCACACAAUGCUGCCCAGGUCACACACAGUUUUUCCCCAGCCCCUGUGUUCAUCCAUUCUUCUCUUCACCGUCUUGAGCAUGAUUGCAUGAUUUUUAACCUAGAUUUACUGAGGACUCAGGCUUAUCCAGGACCUAACCCAUGGCUCUACAGAGGAAGAUCUCUCUUUCUGUCUCUCUCUCUCCCUCUCUACCUCUUCAACUCUGCCUUUCAAACAGAUAAAAAAUAAAUCUUUAAGUGCUCAGGGGCAGCAGAGACAGGAGGGCUGGCAUUCACACAACUGCCUACGCAGUCUGUCAUUACAAUUGUUGUGUCCAUAUACACAGAUUCACAGCUGUGAAUCUUAGUGUGCCUGUACUUUACAAUGGGGGUGUGUGGGGGGAAGCACAGUGUUGGGCUGGGUGUCAUCUGUGGUAUCCAAGUGCACUGAGGGUCUUGGUGGGCACCCCUGUGGGUGCAGGAGGGCCAUGGGCCACCACUUUGAGGACCCUCCUCUUCCACAGGGCCCACGGACAUCUGCAGGAGGAGCUGAGCCCAGGCCAGAGGCAGAGGGACGGGGGUGUCGGCGAGGGUCUCAGUGCUCUGGCUGCCAUGCCCGCCCUCUUUCCCAAGGUGGGCUGGGCGCAUCUGGACAGCAACAUAAAAGGAUAGAGAUGAGUUUAACUGCUCUAAAGAGCAAAGACAAAAAGUCUCAACUCCAGUGGGCUGCGCAGGCGCACAGCAGGGGCACGGGGGGGUUGAGGUCAUGGGGACGCCAGUCCCAGCAGGUGGAAGGGGAAGCUGCAGCCUGGAGUCCCACUGGGAGUGAGAGGGCCCAGAGCAGUGGAGCCCGAGGCUGGAGGGGAAGCUCACAAGGCAGGAGGAGGCUGAAGCCACAGACCGUGUUCAGGAAGUGACGCUCCUGCUUCACCAAGUGUCCACCACAGCCCCGGCAGCCACGAGGGGCAGCUCAGCAAGGCCACCAAGGGCCCAGGGUGCCCCACACCCUGUGCCUCUGCUUUACCCAGAGCCUGAUCCUCUGAGUGGCCGUGGACACAUCCACCUCAGCUGGACCAGUGCUUGGCCCUGGACCAUGAGGACCACCAGGGAGCAGAGAGAUGGAGAUCUUCCUUCUGCUGGCUCACUCCCCAAAUGCCUGCAACAGCUGGGGCUGGGCCAGGCGGAAGCCCAGAGCCGAGAAUUCACUCCAGGUCUCCCAUGUGGGAAGCAGGGACCCAACUACUUGAGGGUGUGCACUGGCAGGAAACUGGAAUUGGGGAGCAGCCAGGACUGAAACCCAGGCUCUGCAGUGUGGGAGGUGGGCAUCCCCAGCAGCAUCUUGGCUGCCCCAGCAAAUGCCCUCCCCAGCCCCUACCUGUUGAGUCAGGACUGAAUCUGCAGGCAGCACACACCUGGGCAAACUUAACAGAAGGAAAUGGGGUUCCACUUGAUGUUAGCCGGCUGGUAGUGGCUCAUUCGUGCGGCUGAAAACGUGUUGCCGUGGAAGCUGGCCAGGCCGUCACUGCCCACGCCACAGUGAAGGGCACCCGUGUGACCGUCAAGGGAGGGCCUGGGAGCAGCAAGCCCUGUCCACACCAGGAACUGCUGAUGCCGAGGGUGGCUCAGCCCGGAAGUCACCUGUAUUGCUCUGUGCAGCCAUUGUGUCCUGGUGUCCCACCUGAUGUCAGGGCACCCCAGGACCUGGUGGCUGAAGGUUGCAGGCUCCCAGUGUCCCAUGCUCAGUGAAGACUGUCUUCUGACUCCAGUUUCCAUUAAGAGGUAAAGAACUGGGGCUGGCGCUGUGGCAUAGCAGGUAAAGCUGCCAUCUACAAGAAACGGCAUCCCAUGUAGGCUUGGGUUCAAGACCCAGCUGCUCCACUUCCAAUCCAGCUCCCUGCUAAUACACCUGGGAAAGCAGUAGAAGAUGGCCCAAGUCCUUGGGCCCCUGCACCUAUGGGGGAGACCUGGAAUAAGCUUCUGGCUCCUGGCUUCAGAUCAGUCCAGCUCAGCUGUUGUAGCCAUUUGAGGUGUGAACUAGUGGAUGGAAGAUCUUUCUCACUCUCUCUCUCUCUUUCUGUAAUUCUGCCUUUAACAUAAAUAAAUCUUUUUAAAAAGGUUUUUUCAUUACAUUCAUUUUUUUCCAUUACACCCUUUUCCACUCACCCCUAAGAGGAAUUUAUGCCCUGUUCUUUUCACUUCCCAUUUUAUUGUAAUGAUUUUAUUAGUUCUUUCUCUCUUACAUGGCAUUGAUUCAUUAGUUCUUCUUAAGCCCAGCAUUUUAAGUGUCUCACGCUAUUGCUGAUAAUAAAUUUCUACUCUGGUGAAUACAUUCCACCACCCCGAACGUUCACUUAAGCUGUUUCCCAAUGUUUCUUCUUGUAAACAAAUGCUGCUUCAGAUACAUUUGUGUUUGCUCUCCGAUUGUGUCACCGGGUCGUAUUUCUAGAAAUAUCUUUCUGGAUUUGAAUGCUUUGGUAAACACUGUGCGGUGUCUCACCACGUUCUGGAGCAGCGUCGUUAAACAACCUCCUGCUGCAUCGCCCACUUGCCAGCGUCACAGACCCCGUGACGAUUUCGUGGUUCCCAGCUUCUUUUCUUUUCCCAACACGACGUUUUGGUAAAGGCUCUUGGAAGCGGUUUAUUCUUUCUGUUUUACCAUUCCCGCUGACACCUGCUCACUCCUGCACUUUCUUUUUUUCUUCUUCUUUUUUUUUACAUCACAACAUUGUUUAUUAUGUGAAUUUUUUACAAUACAAACAAAAAAUACAGAAAUGCAAUAUAUGAAUACAGCUAAAUGCAGAAUGGUGGCUUUUUUUUUCUCUUCAAGAG